rnacentral:misc_RNA from 1 species
GAAAAAAUAAUUAAAACAAAUAGAAUUGAUGAAACUUUAAGAAUUAUUAUGUGACUGGUCUCCUACAGUUAAAUGCCUUGUUGCAUUCGAUGGCGGUUGAUGGCAAUGCCGUAUAGUGUCGCAUGUGAUCGUGCAUUGCAUGAGUGCGCUACGUUUCACCGAUAUCUCUUUGAAACCAUGAGCAUUUCCGUGAUAUGAGAGUGAUUCAGUGUCGACGCAUCUCUGCCUGAGAAGUCAUCGUGGGGUGAAAGCAUGAUGGUCGCGCGUGAAAGGACGUACGAACAGCAAAAGCAACGGUACUGAGGUGGUAUUAAAUAGCCUUUUAAAAUGGCUACAAAAACAGAUGAUGCAGCAUCCGUUGACAAUCCAAAUGAUGGAGAAAGCAUGGAUAAAGAAAUAUUAACUCUUGCCAAUAAUGAUGAAAGGAAUCACCGUAUCCCACCAACGUAUAUGUAUAAUACAAGAUCUGAACAAAGUACUGGUACCUUGGAUCAAGAACAAGGUGGUAUUAACCGUAAUCAAGCUACAGAAGAUCAACUUGGACCUUUGCCACCAAAUUGGGAAAAGGCUUUUACGGAUACUGGAGAAGUAUAUUUUAUAGAUCAUAAUACAGGAACAUCUCAUUGGUUGGAUCCACGAUUAUCAAAAUUUCAAAAAAGAUCUUUAGAAGAGUGCCUAGAUGAUGAAUUACCCUAUGGAUGGGAAAAGAUAGACGAUACCCUCUAUGGGACAUAUUUUAUUGAUCAUGUAAAUCGUAGGACACAAUACGAAAAUCCGGUUUUGCAAGCAAAGCGAGCGCAACAGAAUUUAAUUGAUAGGAAAAGUCCAAAUUUUACGAGAAAUCCAGAUAAAUUAAAGGGUCAAAGAAUAAGAACUACUUUAAUAAAAAGUGCAAGAGGGUUAGGUUUUACUAUUGUUGGUGGAGAUGAUACUGUAGAAGAAUUUCUUCAAAUAAAAAGUGUUGUUCCAAAUGGUCCAGCAUGGUUGGAUGGAAAACUUCAAACUGGUGAUGUAUUGGUAUAUGUAAAUAAUACAUGCGUGUUGGGAUUCACUCAUAAUGAAAUGGUAAAUGUAUUUAAAUCAAUUGGAAGUGGUGAAACUGUUACAUUAGAAGUAUGUAGGGGUUAUCCACUACCAUUUGAUCCGAAUGAUCCAAAUACUGAAGUUGUUACUACAAUAGCAGUUAAUCCACCAGAUGUUUUGACCGAAGAGCCAGGCAUGUACAUGGAUUUAGGACCUCCUUUACAAUCAAAUUCACGUUUCAAUUUUCUAGAUUCUACAUUUUUGCCAGUACAUAAUUUGCAAAAUGGUGAAAAUCUUGCUACAACGUCUGUGAAUUCUAUGCCUGACCUUUGCAUUUCAGACAAAAUAAACACAAUUAAGAGACCAAGCAGUACAGAUAUUCUUUUAUCAGAAAAUAGUGAAAUUAAUGAAUGUAAAGACUCUCCUGUGUCUUCCAAAUCAGAAUUUCUGAGUAUUGCUAUAGUAAAAGGAACAAUGGGAUUUGGAUUUACUAUAGCAGAUUCUGCACAUGGUCAAAAAGUUAAAAAGAUAUUAGAUCGUCAACGUUGUAAGAAUUUAAUAGAAGGUGAUAUAUUGGUUAGCAUAAACGAUAUCAAUGUAAGAAAUAUGUGUCACUCAGAGGUUGUCCAAGUAUUAAAGGAUUGUCCACGUAACGAAGAAGCGCUUGUGCACGUUCAAAGGACCACAAUGAAAUCUAAAGAAAAUAAGGAAAAAAACACUCCAGAUUUUUUCAGAAGUAAGACUCCUACUGCAGAUAUUUAUAGUACUCAAUCUAAAACAGUAAUACCUAGCAGACCAAAAACGCCAUUAAUAGAUACAAGAAGUCAUCCUAAAUCUCCUACAGCAGCAAAUAGACCAAACUGGAAUGAAGUACAAAGUGAAAAUGAAUUGAAUCCACUUGAUACUCGAUAUAAAUAUUCUGAAUAUAGUCAUAGUAUGUAUUAUACUGAUCCAUAUAAAGCAAACAUUACGAACUUAACAGACAACUUUGCUACCAUGGCCAAUAUGGAUGAUGAAUUAUUAAGAAAUGUUACUAAGCAUGAUUGGGUGACAAAUGAUAAACUGAAUAUAAAUAAUGAUUUAUAUUCUAUUAACAUUUCGCAUCAUGAAAAUAUAUUAAAACAAAAUGGAAGUAUACAUUCCGAUUAUUAUAAAGAUUUGUAUGCCGUUCAAUCGCAUUCCCAAUAUAAUGAAACAGAUUAUAAUGUUUAUUCAAUUGGUCAAGAACAAAAUGUUGACACUGGCGAAAUAUGGGAUAAGCGAAAGGAAACUACUAGUUUUGAACAUGAACAACCACAUUCCAGUUCUAUAGCACGGUAUCCACAGUACAGUAAUGAAUUGGUUUGUCCAAUUGUACCUGAUAUAGAAUGGAUUGAGACACUUGUGACAUUAGUCAGACAAGAUACAGGGUUUGGAUUUAGAAUAGUAGGUGGUACAGAAGAAGGAUCUCAGCAGGUUUCUGUUGGUCAUAUUGUACCUGGUGGUGCAGCAGAUCUUGAUAACAGAUUAAAUACCGGUGAUUUGAUUAUGUCCGUUGAUGGAGAAAGUGUAAUGAAUUCUUCACACCAUCAUGUAGUACAAUUAAUGAUAGCUGCAGCUCAAAAUGGUCGAGUUACUUUGGGAAUACGUCGCCGUAUUAAUACUCAAGAACAUUUACAAGAUAAUCUCCAAGCUUCAAAUGAUAUAAUAAUUCAUAGUAGACAAAUGAAUCUUCAAUAUCCUUAUGACGUGACAGUUACUAGAAUGGAAAAUGAAGGAUUUGGUUUUGUAAUUAUAUCGUCAGUCAAUAAAGCUGGUUCUACAAUUGGUAGAAUAAUUGAGGGAUCUCCAGCGGAACGAUGUGGUCGACUAAAUGUUGGAGAUCAUAUAUUAGCCGUUAAUCACGUUGAUAUAACAAAUGUAUGUCAUAAAGAUAUCGUGAAUUUAAUCAAAGAUUCUGGAUAUUCUGUAACGUUAACCAUUGGUUAUCCUCUUGAUGAUUGUUGUAGCAGUACAUCAUUAUCUCAAAAGGAGAAGGAGAUGGAGGCCAGUAUCAUGCUGUUGAAUUAACGCGUGGAACUCGAGGCUUUGGAUUUAGUAUACGUGGUGGACGGGAAUUUCAGAAUAUGCCAUUGUUUGUACUGCAAAUUGCUGAAAAUGGACCUGCAUCUAUCGAUAAUCGAUUGAGGGUUGGGGAUCAAAUAAUCGAAAUAAAUGGUAUCAAUACUAAAAAUAUGACACACACAGAAGCAAUAGAAAUCAUUCGCAAUGGUGGUCCUUCAGUUCGUCUAUUAGUACGACGUGGCUGCCAAAUGCCAUCAGUGGUAGGUGCUCCUCCACAUCUCUACGAUAUGAACAUUUGAGAUUAACCAUUUCAAUAAUAACAUAUUAAUCAUAAAUUAACGAAACAUCUUUUAUGAUGAUGCUAAUGCUAAUUUUGCCUUUGUAUAACUUCUGAUGACUUGGAAUCAAGCUUCAGGGUAUAACAUUAGGUAAUGUGUUAAGUAGAUAAGACAGGCAAUAGACAAUACAAAAAAUAAGAAGAAAUUCCAAAAAAAAAAAAAAAAAAAAAAAAAGAAAAGAUGAAACAUAUCUUCUGGCACUCCGUAGAUCAAAUGUAAACCAGGUAUAUACUUGGUUUUA